UCCGAUAUGGUGUAACGGCUAACAUUACCGCCUUUCAUGUGCUAUGUGGUCGCGGUAGCUCGGGGUUCGAUUCCCCGUAUCGGAG